CCUACGGGAGGCAGCAGUGGGGAAUAUUGCACAAUGGGGGAAACCCUGAUGCAGCGACGCCGCGUGAGUGAAGACGUAAUUCGUUAUGUAAAGCUCUAUCAGCAGGGAAGAAAAUGACGGUACCUGAGUAAGAAGCCCCGGCUAACUACGUGCCAGCCGCCGCGGUAAUACGGAGGGGGCUAGCGUUAUCCGGAUUUACUGGGUGUAAAGGGAGCGUAGACGGCAGUGCAAGUCUGGAGUGAAAGGGGGGGGCUCAACCCCCGGAUUGCACCGGAAACUGUACGGCUGGAGUGCAGGGAAGGUAGGUGGAAUUCGUAGUGUAGCGGUGAAAUGCUUAGAUAUUAGGAGGAACACCAGUGGCGAAGGCAGCUUGCUGGAGUGUAACUGACGUUGAUGCUCGAAAGCGUGGGUAGCGAACAGGAUUAGAUACCCUAGUAGUC
rnacentral:rRNA from 1 species